rnacentral:lncRNA from 1 species
UUCUAAUUUAGUUCAGUUUUGUCUUGCAGUGAUGGGGCCUUUACACGCUGCCAAAGCUCACACCAGCAAAUCACUGCAGACCUGCACAUAUUGAUCCUGCAUUACUAAGGGACUGUUUCUCCAGCUCAAGGAGUCAGAAUGUUCCUCGAAUGGAACAAGCAGAAACAUUUGCAUCCUGGGUCCCCCUGGACGGCCGGACAAUUGAAAAGAGGAGCCUUGGCCAUGCUGCUUUCUAUUUCGGUUCCACAAACCGAUUUCCAAGAUGUUCACAGGCUCUGCCUCCGCGGCCCCAGGUCCUGUCAUGUGAAUCCCACACUCACCUGAAGAGAGCUGCUCUCAGCUCAGCGGGGGCCACACAGAAACCCAGGAGACUCGAAUUCCGCGGCCCUCCUGCCCCGCUUGGAUUGCCCCAGCAUUUCCCCAAAUGUCAGGGGUUCUUUCUGCUGAGUCUUCCCUCGUUUUCUCAUUUUCUGUCACUACCAUGAGAGUAGCUGUUGUGAGCCUAGACCCAUGCACCC